rnacentral:lncRNA from 1 species
UGCAAUAGGACAGUUGUCUCCUGUCCCCUAAAACAGUGUUUGCUCCAUGCCGCACUGAUCUGUGUGCUGGAGCAGAUGUAAUUGAAAACAUGGUGGAGAGAAAGGAGUUCUAACUCAUAACACAAAACCUCUGAGAUACCUAAGGAUACCUAACAACAACAACAACACCACCACCACCACAACAACAAAAUGCACAAGAAUAACCAGAAAACACUGAAGACAAACAAUGAGUAGGACUUGCUGUAUCAGAAACCAACAUCUCAAGCUUCUGGCAAGAUGGUUUACCAGCUGGGGCUGUUAUCUGCCUCCCACAGGAUGAAUCCUGAGAAACUGUAGACACGCAUGACAGGCACAGAUACUAGGAACUAUGAACUAGGACCUCACAAAUGAAGACACCCCAGGGGCACCCAAGUCUGUUUUGAGCUGAUAUGGGUUGGGGCGGGUGAGUAG